UACCCUAAUCAUGUUUUCUUGAUUUUCGUAUUAUCUAUUUGCAUGGCUUACUGUUGAUCUAUAAAUGAAAAAUAUUGGUAUUUAAUUGGUGAUUGGUUGAUGAUGUGGAUAUAUCUAUGAAAAGUUUAUUGGUACCCUGGGAAAGGUUGUACGGACCCGAUGCAUAAGAAAAACUCUACCGUGGAUAUUACCUUAGUCGAACUUGGCUGAGAAGUAUCAU
rnacentral:lncRNA from 1 species